rnacentral:rRNA from 1 species
UGGGGGAUAUUGCACAAUGGGGGGAACCCUGAUGCAGCGACGCCGCGUGGGCGAGGAAGUACCUCGGUAUGUAAAGCCCUAUCAGCAGGGGAGAAAUUGACGGUACCUGACUAAGAAGCCCCGGCUAACUACGUGCCAGCAGCCGCGGUAAUACGUAGGGGGCAAGCGUUAUCCGGAUUCACUGGGUGUAAAGGGAGCGCAGGCGGUACGGCAAGUCUGAUGUGAAAACCCGGGGCCCAACCCCGGGAGUGCAUUGGAAACUGCCGGACUCGAGUGUCGGAGGGGCAAGUGGAAUUCCUAGUGUAGCGGUGAAAUGCGUAGAUAUUAGGAGGAACACCAGUGGCGAAGGCGGCUUGCUGGACGACGACUGACGCUGAGGCUCGAAAGCGUGGGGAGCAAACAGG